GAAGAUGGGAUGGGGAAGCAAAGCGGGGGAUUGGGUGUUCAAAGGGUUCACAGCUGGUCUGGGGUUGGCCACCAUUUACCUAACUGCCACUUUCUCUGUUAAUGUUUACCGAGGCCUCGCCUGGCACAACUCUCAAUCCAUAGAAUCGUCACCUUAAGAAAUGGAUGGCUAGAAAGAAAAGGAUGAAGACUGAAUAAAGGAGCGAAGGACAGUGUGCUUGUACCAAAUGUCUGAUACGUAGUUUCCUGUCUUAUGGUCUUUUGCCUCAUAAAUUGGUGAUGGCUCCUACCAACAUAUGAUGUAUUCUCUCCCAACCGAAGUUCUUUAAACUGAGAUCUGAAUAUGACUUUGUUUGGUUGGCAGAAAAUUGAGAAGCAGGGCUCCAAUGAACAAUCCUCUUGAUAUAAGCUUCCUUGCUGGGAAACCCAGUCUUAGAUUCGUGGGAAUUGUGUUGUUGACUCCUAGGAAUCUCGCAAAAACUUACCUGAUUUGCUAGAUGAGUAUUGCUCUCAGAUCCGGAUGUGAGGCCUUUUGGAUUGCUGUUUGUUCUUGUUUUUGUUGUGUUAGGUUUGGAAUAAAUUCUGGUUUCAUAUUGAAAAACACCAUAUAUAAAAAAUUAUAAUACUGCAGUGAAUACUUGGUUUGAACUUUCAGAUGAUUUUGAAGUGAGUUGAAAAGGGUUUAUAUA